rnacentral:rRNA from 1 species
UACGUAGGGCGCGAGCGUUGUCCGGAAUUAUUGGGCGUAAAGAGCUCGUAGGCGGCCUGUUGCGUCCGCUGUGAAAUCCCAGGGCUCAACCCUGGGCGUGCAGUGGAUACGGGCAGGCUGGAGGCAGGCAGGGGAGAACGGAAUUCCCGGUGUAGCGGUGAAAUGCGCAGAUAUCGGGAGGAACAUCAGUGGCGAAAGCGGCUUCCUGGUCCAGCACCGACGUUCAGGCACGAAAGCGUGGGGAGCAAACAGG